AGAACGAACGCUGGCGGCAGGCUUAACACAUGCAAGUCGAACGCCCCGCAAGGGGAGUGGCAGACGGGUGAGUAACGCGUGGGAAUCUACCCAGUUCUACGGAAUAACACAGGGAAACUUGUGCUAAUACCGUAUACGCCCUACGGGGGAAAGAUUUAUCGGGAUUGGAUGAGCCCGCGUUGGAUUAGCUAGUUGGUGGGGUAAUGGCCUACCAAGGCGACGAUCCAUAGCUGGUCUGAGAGGAUGAUCAGCCACACUGGGACUGAGACACGGCCCAGACUCCUACGGGAGGCAGCAGUGGGGAAUAUUGGACAAUGGGCGCAAGCCUGAUCCAGCCAUGCCGCGUGAGUGAUGAAGGCCUUAGGGUUGUAAAGCUCUUUCAGUGGGGAAGACAAUGACGGUACCCACAGAAGAAGCCCGGCUAACUUCGCGCCAGCAGCCGC
rnacentral:rRNA from 1 species